GCGCUGGUGCUGGAACUGGCAGACAGGCAUGGUUGAGGGCCAUGUGCCGCAAGGCGUGGAGGUUCAAGUCCUCUCCAGCGCA
rnacentral:tRNA from 1 species